rnacentral:rRNA from 1 species
CAGUAGCCGCGGGAAUACGGAGGGUGCAAGCGUUAAUCGGAAUUACUGGGCGUAAAGCGUGCGCAGGCGGUUAUAUAAGACAGAUGUGAAAUCCCCGGGCUCAACCUGGGAACUGCAUUUGUGACUGUAUAGCUAGAGUACGGCAGAGGGGGAUGGAAUUCCGCGUGUAGCAGUGAAAUGCGUAGAUAUGCGGAGGAACACCGAUGGCGAAGGCAAUCCCCUGGGCCUGUACUGACGCUCAUGCACGAAAGCGUGGGGAGCAAACAGGAUUAGAUACCCCAGUAGUCCCUGUCUCUUAUAC